CUCAAAUUUUACUCAGGUUUUCUUAAACUCUCUCUUUCUUUUUUUUAAGAUUUUUCAUUCAUGCUUUCAUUUAUUACAAGGACACACACAUACACAUACUUAUACAAGUUUUCUUUCACUAGCUAGUAGCUACUCACUUACCCUUACUCUCUCAUCUUACUUCUACAAUCUAGAUUCACUUACACAAGCAAUCCACUCCAUCAUAGACUCCAACAACACACUCUUUCUUUUCAUUUGGGCCUUAGUUUAUUCGGAGCCCAUUACUAAAAACAACCCUAAGCCCAUAAUCUUUUUGUUGACUUUUCUUCUUCUUCUUUGACUCCCUUCUUCUUCGACGCUUUUCUUCUUCUUCAACCAAGUUUCUUCUUCUUCUUCUCCUCACUGUAAUUCUUUUGAUUCUUAAUCAUCUUCUCUUUCUCAAUUGCAGGUUCAAUCGGAGACUCAACCUUCAACACUCCCUCUUGAGUUUUCGAUUGAAACUCUCGAUUCCAAGUUAGGAUUUUGAAUCUUGAUAUCUUCCCUUCGCCACUGCUGGUUCCUUUUCGCUUGAUCGGAUGCGAGCUUUUCAAGACGUCGGCAUAAGUCAUCGGUGAGCUUGAUUUCUCAGUCUCCCUCUUGCUCUCAAUCCCAGUGGAUUCAACGGCUUUUCCCUUUUCAAUUUUUGUUGCUCCCUCUUGAACAAUUCUCUUCUCAGUCUUGUUCUCGUUUGCUUCAUUCUCAGUUGGACUCACUUUGAUCUUCUUUUGCAGAUAAUCAGGAUGGAAAUUUAUGUCGCCAAACUUGAUGGCAUAAUCUGGAUGAAGGCUCAUGUCUCCAAUCUUGAUGACGUUCGUUUUUCCAACCGGAGGUAAUCCCUUUGCUUCUUCCUUGUUUUUAAUUUCACCCUUGCAAAUGGUUUCCAAAUUUUUAAUUCCAAACCCUUUGAACUUUGACGCUUGCUUCUUUUUCUCUGUCUCUGUCUCUUGAUCAUUCUCUGCCUUCCUUUUGCAGAUUUCUUCUCUAGUCCACUUUUUCUCCCUCUUAAUCUCAGGUGAGCUUUCAAUUUUCUCCACCGUGUCUCUGUUUAACACCAUCUUCUUCAGAUUUUUUUCUGGACUCACAUCCUUGACUUCUCUAACUUUGUUUUCUUCUUUUCCAGUUUCAGAAUUUCUCUGGUUCUUAACUUCAAUCACUGAUUUUCCCUUCACAGCUUUAUCUCCAUGCUUCUUAGCUUGAUACAUCACAGAUUUGUUUUUGUUUUCAACAUUCUUCUUAGUACACCAAGGUUGCAGCGUUUUUUGAUUUGCAAUUUUAGUGUCUCCAGCUCCUUGACAACAUGAUUUCACCUUUUCUUUUGCAGCAACCAUUGUUGCUUCUUCAUUCUCUGGCAUCUUAAGAUGAUAACUCUUUUUGAUCAUUGGCACCUCAGCUAUCUUCCUUCCAGCGGGAUCAUGAAUGGUACAACCAUUUUGAUCAAAGUUAACUUCAUAAUCAUUCUCAAUCAUUUGAGAGACACUCAAGAGAUUUUUGGCAAUCUUUGGAACUAGUAGAACAUCUUUGAUCAUUCUCUUGCCCUUCUUUGUCAUGAUUUCAAUGUCUCCCUUUCCCUUUGUGGUCAGAACAGCUCCAUUACCUACAUGGAUAGGAACAUUGAAGCUUGUGUUGAGGUUAAUGAACAGUUUCUCCUGUGAGGUCAUGUGAUUUGUGCAUCCACUAUCAAUGAGCCAGACAUUUUCUUCUAGUGUUUCUUCAUCCUCUUGUCUUGCUGUGAACAUAUGGUAGGUUUCUUCUUCUUCUUCUUCUUUUUCGUUGUCUUCUUGAGUAACUUGAGCUUGUUCUCCAUUCUUGAGUUUGCAGUCAUUUAUUAGAUGACCUACCUUGCCACAGCGGAAACAGCUUCUGGUUUCUCUGUUUGUGUUAAAAUUCGGUCUGAUUUUUCCACUCUUGAGCCAGCAAACAUCUUCAUUGUGAUUAUCUCUUUUACAGUAAUCACACCACCUCUUUUCUCUGUAACUUGACUGACCUUGGUUUUCCUUAUUUUUGCUCUUCACAUUCAGAUUUCGGAAAUGUGCAUGGAAGGCUCCUUCUGCUUCUUCUUCAUCCUCAGGAAAGAAUUUCUUCUCAUGUGCCUCAAGAGAUCCAACUAGCUCAGCAUAGGUAACUGUCAUUAGAUCCUUUGUUUCUUCCAUUAAAGAUGACAGACCAGCAUAACUCUUUGGCAUAGAGGCCAGCAUUUUCACUACUAAAUCAAAGUUUGAUUUUCCUUCACCUAGAGCCCUCAUCUGAUUUGCUACAGCCUGAAUCCUAUCAGAGUAAGCUUUAACCUUUUCCCCUUCUUUCAUUUUCAGAUUCUCAAACUCUCUUCUUAGAGACUGAAGUCUAACAGUUUUAACUUUCUCAUUACCUUGAUAGGAGUGCUCUAGCAGCUUCCAU
rnacentral:lncRNA from 1 species